UACGUAGGUGGCAAGCGUUGUCCGGAUUUACUGGGCGUAAAGGGCGUGCAGGCGGUCUGUUAAGUCUAGGGUGAAAGCUCCCGGCUCAACUGGGAGAGGUCCUUGGAUACUGGCGGACUUGAGGGAGGUAGAGGAAAGUGGAAUUCCCGGUGUAGUGGUGAUAUGCGUAGAUAUCGGGAGGAACACCAGUGGCGAAGGCGGCUUUCUGGGCCUUACCUGACGCUGAGACGCGAAAGCGUGGGGAGCGAACAGG
rnacentral:rRNA from 1 species